GAUAAUGCAAAUCUCUUCUUUGUUUUUUUUUGUGCCUUAAGAAUUCGAAGAAAGAACUCGAAAAAGCCAAAAUUUAAACAACGCCACAAUUGAUUUGCAUAUAAAACCUAUCACACUACACAGUAAACCGGCCGAAAUUACAGGAUCCUACUCAUGUGCAGGAACUGUGUAAAUACGUAUAGAGGAGUCAUCUGUGGACAAAGUAAAGAAACAGUUCCACUGAUUUUCUCUGUGUCUAUAUAGUUUACUGACAUUUACAGAUAACUUGCUUUUACUCAUACAAUGAUCACUGAUGAAAUAUGACAGAAAUGAAUACAGUGUUUUCCAUAUGCAUCACUAUAUAUGAAUACUUUCACGAAAGUCCAUUUGAUUGGUUAAGGCACGUUUGUCAUCCCAAGGUUAAUUUUUGUUACGAACAAAUUCGGUUUUAAAUAGUACACAAAGAUAUUACAUUUGUGUUUGGUGUCAGAUUUUCUAUAUUUAUUAGGAAACAUAUUUUAUUAACAAGUCUACUCUGAAGUUUAUUGAAUGCAAGAUGUUAUGACAAAGUAACUGUAUGAGGAUACUUUGUUCUUAUCAUGCCAGAAACAGUUUCUAAAAGUCCAUGAAAUCCUCACCAAGGCUAACAAAUACAAUACUAUGCUGCUGUUCAAGAAUGGGUGAUCAAAGAAUGAACAAGUUUCUCUUGCAGCUGGAACGAAAAAAGACAUUAAGGUUUACAAUACCAAAGGGCAUGAUUACCGCAUCCUAAUCAAGAAAUGCCCACGGGUAGACUACGUAUUGUGUAUCGACCACAUUUUCAGGUAGCAGGCUC